rnacentral:rRNA from 1 species
AUUGAACGCUGGCGGCAGGCCUAACACAUGCAAGUCGAACGGUAACAGGAAGAAGCUUGCUUCUUUGCUGACGAGUGGCGGACGGGUGAGUAAUGUCUGGGAAACUGCCUGAUGGAGGGGGAUAACUACUGGAAACGGUAGCUAAUACCGCAUAACGUCGCAAGACCAAAGAGGGGGACCUUCGGGCCUCUUGCCAUCGGAUGUGCCCAGAUGGGAUUAGCUAGUUGGUGGGGUAACGGCUCACCAAGGCGACGAUCCCUAGCUGGUCUGAGAGGAUGAACAGCCACACUGGAAAUGAGACACGGUCCAGACUCCUACGGGAGGCAGCAGUGGGGAAUAUUGCACAAUGGGCGCAAGCCUGAUGCAGCCAUGCCGCGUGUAUGAAGAAGGCCUUCGGGUUGUAAAGUACUUUCAGCGGGGAGGAAGGGAGUAAAGUUAAUACCUUUGCUCAUUGACGUUACCCGCAGAAGAAGCACCGGCUAACUCCGUGCCAGCAGCCGCGGUAA